rnacentral:tRNA from 1 species
UGGCUUCCCUGGACCGCUGGUGGUCACCGUUUUCUCCGACAAAAUUCAAGGCUGUUCGAGCCCACCAGUAGUUGG